GAAGAUCAGAAUGAUCACACAGCUUCUUCAGCUGGAAGGGAUUUCAAAGUUAAAUGUCUUUCUUUUACAGAUAAGAAAAUUGCAGCUGAUGGAGUUACUGGCUAACGUCAGUAUGGAACUGAGACUUGAAGCCAGGCCUCCUGAAAUCAGAUGCUUCUUUCUGGUAUAGUGGACACUAUCUGAAAUGACAAAUGAUAUAUUUUAUAGGGAACAUGAGUUGGUGUCAAGGAGAUCUGCAGAAGUGGUAUAUGGAAAAACAUCUCCAAGUAUAUAAUGUGAAGAUAUCUGCAUCUUAUCUUCCCGUUCUGUCUGAUGGCCAAGAUCAUCCAUACCUCUUCAGUUAUGGAGACAGUAACCUGCAUAGACUUCUUGACCACCUUCCAUACUUACUAAGAGUUGGAUUCCCUGUAGUUCUCACUUUGUUGCUCAGACUGGAGUGCAGUGGCGUGAUCUCAGCUUACUGCAACCUCCACCUCCCAGGCUCAAGUGAUUCUCCUGCCUCAACCUCCCAAAUAGCUGGAAUUACAGGCUUGCACCACUAUCACCCAGCUGAUUUUUGUAAUUUUAGUAAAAAUGAGGUUUUACCGUGUUGCCCAGGCUGGUCUUGA
rnacentral:lncRNA from 13 species